rnacentral:rRNA from 1 species
CCUACGGGAGGCAGCAGUGAGGAAUAUUGGUCAAUGGACGAGAGUCUGAACCAGCCAAGUAGCGUGAAGGAUGACUGCCCUAUGGGUUGUAAACUUCUUUUAUAUGGGAAUAAAACGUUCCACGUGUGGGAUUUUGUAUGUACCAUAUGAAUAAGGAUCGGCUAACUCCGUGCCAGCAGCCGCGGUAAUACGGAGGAUCCGAGCGUUAUCCGGAUUUAUUGGGUUUAAAGGGAGCGUAGGUGGAUUGUUAAGUCAGUUGUGAAAGUUUGCGGGUCAACCGUAAAAUUGCAGUUGAAACUGGCAGUCUUGAGUACAGUAGAGGUGGGCGGAAUUCGUGGUGUAGCGGUGAAAUGCUUAGAUAUCACGAAGAACUCCGAUUGCGAAGGCAGUUCACUGGACUGCAACUGACACUGAGGCUCGAAAGUGUGGGUAUCAAACAGGAUUAGAUACCCCAGUAGUC